rfam:Triticum urartu cultivar G1812 contig974739, whole genome shotgun sequence.
AUCUUUGCGCUUGGGGCAAUGACGCAGCUAGUGAGGUUAUACCGAGGCGCGUCAAUUGCUGGUUGAAAACUAUUUCCAAACCCCCUCUUUGGCCCUCCGGGGACAUUGAGAAUUUCUGAAAGGGCUCCUUCCCUUCGGGGAGGGCAAAGCC